AUGCCUCGCCGCCUCUACUCCACCAGGCCCAUGUCCUACACCCGUCUCUGCCGCCGGUUGUCCUCCUCCUCCACCACCACCUCUUCGUCGUCACCCUCCUGGUGUCCCCAUGCCGCCUUCGCCACUGCCACAGAGCGUGUCCGUGCCGGCACGCUCAGUCCGGAGCACGUGCACCACCUGUUCGACAAAUUGCUUCGGCAGGCCACUCCGGUCCCCGAGCGCUCCCUGAACGGCUUCCUUGCCGCCCUCGCGCACGCGCCGGACUCCUCCGCGUGCAAAGACGGCCCCGCCCUCGUCCUCGCCAUCUUCAACCGCGUCUCCCGAGAAGAAGCCGGCCUGCGGGUGGCCACGCCCGCCAUCUGCACCUACUGCAUCCUCAUGGACUGCUGCUGCCGCGCGCGUCGCCGGGACCUAGGGCUUGCCUUCUUCGGCCGCCUCGUGAGGACGGGCCUCAAGACAAACCAGAUCGCCGCCAACAACCUCCUCAAGUGCCUCUGCCACGCAAAACGGACCGACGAGGCUGUCAGCGUGCUGCUUCAUAGGAUGUCCGACCUCGGUUGUGCGCCUAACUGCAUCUUAUACAACACAGUUCUAAAGAGCUUGUGCGAAGAUAGCAGGAGCCAGCAAGCGCUCGACCUGCUCCAGAUGAUGGCAAAAGAAGGAGGUGUCUGCUCCCCUAGUCUGGUCAAAUAUAACACGGUCAUCCACGGCUUCUUCAAGGAAGGACAAGUAAGCAAGGCAUGCAAUCUAUACCAUGAAAUGAUGAGCAAGGGGUUGUGCCUGAUGUGGUGA
rnacentral:rRNA from 1 species